UAAGGGCGCACGGUGGAUGCCUUGGCACUAGGAGCCGAUGAAGGACGGGACUAACACCGAUAUGCUUUGGGGAGCUGUACGUAAGCUAUGAUCCAGAGAUUUCCGAAUGGGGGAACCCAACAUCUUUAAUAGGAUGUUACGAUUGUGUGAAUACAUAGCACAUUCGAGGUAGACGCAGAGAACUGAAACAUCUAAGUACCUGCAGGAAGAGAAAGAAAAUUCGAUUCCCUGAGUAGCGGCGAGCGAAACGGGAAAAGCCCAAACCAGCAAGCUUGCUUGUUGGGGUUGUAGGACUCCAAUAUGGUAGUUCUUUCAGAUAGUCGAAUGACUUGGAAAAGUCAGUCAAAGAGGGUAAAAACCCCGUAGACGAAAUGUGGAAGACACCUAGGAGGAUCCUGAGUACGGCGGAACACGAGAAAUUCCGUCGGAAUCCGGGAGGACCAUCUCCCAAGGCUAAAUACUCCCUAGUGACCGAUAGUGAACCAGUACCGUGAGGGAAAGGUGAAAAGCACCCCGGAAGGGGAGUGAAAUAGAACCUGAAACCGUGUGCCUACAACAAGUCAAAGCCCGUUAAUGGGUGAUGGCGUGCCUUUUGUAGAAUGAACCGGCGAGUUACGAUUGCAUGCGAGGUUAAGUUGAAGAGACGGAGCCGCAGCGAAAGCGAGUCUGAAUAGGGCGUUUGAGUAUGUAGUCGUAGACCCGAAACCAUGUGAUCUACCCAUGUCCAGGUUGAAGGUGCGGUAAAACGCACUGGAGGACCGAACCCACGUACGUUGAAAAGUGCGGGGAUGAGGUGUGGGUAGCGGAGAAAUUCCAAACGAACUUGGAGAUAGCUGGUUCUCUCCGAAAUAGCUUUAGGGCUAGCCUCGGAAUUGAGAAUGAUGGAGGUAGAGCACUGUUUGGACUAGGGGCCCAUCUCGGGUUACCGAAUUCAGAUAAACUCCGAAUGCCAUUCA
rnacentral:rRNA from 1 species